CAUUAGAUGACUGAAAAUAAGUUAUGAUCUCUUAAAUCAUAUUAUAGUAUAUAAUAAAUACUUCUAAUGA
rnacentral:tRNA from 1 species